CGAACAUCGCUGGCGGCGUGCCUCACACUGCAUGUCGAACGAUUAAGCUCCCUUCGGGGAGUGCAUAAAGUGGCGCACGGGUGUAACACGUAAGUAAUCUACCCUCGAGUGGGGAAUAACAACCGGAAACGGUUGCUAAUACCUGCAUAAUGCAGCGGCACCGCAAGGUGACAGUUGUUAAAGAUUUAUCGCUUGAGGAGGAGCUUGCGGCAGAUUAGCUAGUUGGUAAGGUAAUGGCUUACCAAGGCAACGAUCUGUAGCCGGUCUAAGAGGACGGUCGGUCACACUGACACUGAAUAACGGGUCAGACUCCUACGGGAGGCAGCAGUCGGGAAUUUAGGGCAAUGGGGGAAACCCUGACCCAGCAACGCCGCGGUGAAGGAUGAAGUAUAUCGGUAUGUAAACUUCGAAAGAAUGGGAAGAAUAAAUGACGGUACCAUUUAUUAGCUCCGGCUAACUACGUGCCAACAGCCGCGGUAAUACGUAGGGAGCAAGCGUAAGUCGGAUUUACUGGGCGUAAAGGGCGCGUAGGCAGCAUGACAAGUCACUUGUGAAAUCUCCGGGCUUAACCCGGAACGGCAAGUGAUACUGUCGCGCUAGAGUGCGGAAGGGGCAAU
rnacentral:rRNA from 1 species